GCCCGAAUAGUGUAGCCCGGCCAAUCAUACCGGCUUCUCGAGCCGGUGACCCGAGUUCAAAUCUCGGUUCGGGCA
rnacentral:tRNA from 1 species